GAUGAAGAACGUAGCGAAAUGCGAUAAGUAAUGUGAAUUGCAGAAUUCAGUGAAUCAUCGAAUCUUUGAACGCACAUUGCGCCCCUUGGUAUUCCGAGGGGCAUGCCUGUUCGAGCGUCAUUAUAAUCCUUCAAGCUCAGCUUGGUGUUGGGGCCUGCUGUAACUGGUAGCCCUUAAAAUCAGUGGCAGUGCUAUUACGCUCUAAGCGUAGUAAUUCUUCUCGCUAUAGUGUGUAGUGAGCGCUUGCCAGAACCCCAAACUUUUAUAUGAUUGACCUCGGAUCAGGUAGGGAUACCCGCUGAACUUAAGCAUAUCAAUAAGCGGAGGA
rnacentral:misc_RNA from 1 species